UACGGAGGGUGCGAGCGUUAAUCGGAAUUACUGGGCGUAAAGCGUGCGUAGGCGGUUCGUUAAGUCAGAUGUGAAAGCCCUGGGCUCAACCUGGGAACGGCAUUUGAAACUGGCGGACUAGAGUUUAGUAGAGGGGAGUGGAAUUUCAGGUGUAGCGGUGAAAUGCGUAGAUAUCUGAAGGAACACCAGUGGCGAAGGCGACUCCCUGGACUAGAACUGACGCUGAGGUACGAAAGCGUGGGUAGCAAACAGGAUUAUAUACCCUGUUAGUCCACGCCGUAAACGAUGUCAACUAGCCGUUGGUCCUAUUUACAGUAUUAGUGGCGCAGCUAACGCAUUAAGUUGACCGCCUGGGGAGUACGGCCGCAAGGUUA
rnacentral:rRNA from 1 species